GGGUUGUGAGGUUAAGCGACUAAGCGUACACGGUGGAUGCCCUGGCAGUCAGAGGCGAUGAAGGACGUGCUAAUCUGCGAAAAGCGUCGGUAAGGUGAUAUGAACCGUUAUAACCGGCGAUGUCCGAAUGGGGAAACCCAGUGCAAUUCGUUGCACUAUCGUUAACUGAAUACAUAGGUUAACGAGGCGAACCGGGGAACUGAAACAUCUAAGUACCCCGAGGAAAAGAAAUCAACCGAGAUUCCCCAGUAGCGGCGAGCGAACGGGGAGCAGCCCAGAGUCUGAAUCAGCUUGUGUGUUAGUGGAACGGUCUGGAAAGUCCGACGGUACAGGGUGAUAGUCCCGUACACCAAAAUGCACAGGCUGUGAACUCGAAGAGUAGGGCGGGACACGUGGUAUCCUGUCUGAAUAUGGGGACCAUCCUCCAAGGCUAAAUACUCCUGACUGACCGAUAGUGAACCAGUACCGUGAGGGAAAGGCGAAAAGAACCCCGGCGAGGGGAGUGAAAAGAACCUGAAACCGUGUACGUACAAGCAGUGGGAGCACCUUCGGGUGUGACUGCGUACCUUUGUAUAAUGGGUCAGCGACUUAUAUUCUGUAGCAAGGUUAACCGUAUAGGGAGCCGCAGGGAAACCGAGUCUUAACUGGGCGUUAAGUUGCAGGGUAUAGACCCGAAACCCGGUGAUCUAGCCAUGGGCAGGUUGAAGGUUGGGUAACACUAACUGGAGGACCGAACCGACUAAUGUUGAAAAAUUAGCGGAUGACUUGUGGCUGGGGUGAAAGGCCAAUCAAACCGGGAGAUAGCUGGUUCUCCCCGAAAGCUAUUUAGGUAGCGCCUCGUGAAUUCAUCUUCGGGGUAGAGCACUGUUUCGGCUAGGGGUCAUCCCGACUUACCAACCCGAUGCAAACUACGAAUACCGAAGAAUGUUAUCACGGGAGACACACGGCGGGUGCUAACGUCCGUCGUGAAGAGGGAAACAACCCAGACCGCCAGCUAAGGUCCCAAAGUCAUGGUUAAGUGGGAAACGAUGUGGGAAGGCACAGACAGCCAGGAUGUUGGCUUAGAAGCAGCCAUCAUUUAAAGAAAGCGUAAUAGCUCACUGGUCGAGUCGGCCUGCGCGGAAGAUGUAACGGGGCUAAACCAUGCACCGAAGCUGCGGCAGCGACACUAUGUGUUGUUGGGUAGGGGCGUUCUGUAAGCCUGCGAAGGUGUGCUGUGAGGCAUGCUGGAGGUAUCAGAAGUGCGAAUGCUGACAUAAGUAACGAUAAAGCGGGUGAAAAGCCCGCUCGCCGGAAGACCAAGGGUUCCUGUCCAACGUUAAUCGGGGCAGGGUGAGUCGACCCCUAAGGCGAGGCCGAAAGGCGUAGUCGAUGGGAAACAGGUUAAUAUUCCUGUACUUGGUGUUACUGCGAAGGGGGGACGGAGAAGGCUAUGUUAGCCGGGCGACGGUUGUCCCGGUUUAAGCAUGUAGGCUGGUUGUCCAGGCAAAUCCGGAUAAUCAAGGCUGAGGUGUGAUGACGAGGCACUACGGUGCUGAAGUAACAAAUGCCCUGCUUCCAGGAAAAGCCUCUAAGCAUCAGGUAACAUCAAAUCGUACCCCAAACCGACACAGGUGGUCAGGUAGAGAAUACCAAGGCGCUUGAGAGAACUCGGGUGAAGGAACUAGGCAAAAUGGUGCCGUAACUUCGGGAGAAGGCACGCUGGUGUGUAGGUGAAGUCCCUGCGGAUGGAGCUGAGACCAGUCGAAGAUACCAGCUGGCUGCAACUGUUUAUUAAAAACACAGCACUGUGCAAACACGAAAGUGGACGUAUACGGUGUGACGCCUGCCCGGUGCCGGAAGGUUAAUUGAUGGGGUUAUCCGUAAGGAGAAGCUCUUGAUCGAAGCCCCGGUAAACGGCGGCCGUAACUAUAACGGUCCUAAGGUAGCGAAAUUCCUUGUCGGGUAAGUUCCGACCUGCACGAAUGGCGUAAUGAUGGCCGGGCUGUCUCCACCCGAGACUCAGUGAAAUUGAACUCGCUGUGAAGAUGCAGUGUACCCGCGGCAAGACGGAAAGACCCCGUGAACCUUUACUAUAGCUUGACACUGAACAUUGAGCCUUGAUGUGUAGGAUAGGUGGGAGGCUUUGAAGCGUGGACGCCAGUCUGCGUGGAGCCAACCUUGAAAUACCACCCUUUAAUGUUUGAUGUUCUAACGUUGGCCCUUACCGGGGUUGCGGACAGUGUCUGGUGGGUAGUUUGACUGGGGCGGUCUCCUCCCAAAGCGUAACGGAGGAGCACGAAGGUUAGCUAAUCUGGUCGGACAUCAGGAGGUUAGUGCAAUGGCAUAAGCUAGCUUGACUGCGAGCGUGACGGCGCGAGCAGGUGCGAAAGCAGGUCAUAGUGAUCCGGUGGUUCUGAAUGGAAGGGCCAUCGCUCAACGGAUAAAAGGUACUCCGGGAUAACAGGCUGAUACCGCCCAAGAGUUCAUAUCGACGGCGGUGUUUGGCACCUCGAUGUCGGCUCAUCACAUCCUGGGGCUGAAGUAGGUCCCAAGGGUAUGGCUGUUCGCCAUUUAAAGUGGUACGCGAGCUGGGUUUAGAACGUCGUGAGACAGUUCGGUCCCUAUCUGCCGUGGGCGCUGGAGAAUUGAGGGGCUGCUCCUAGUACGAGAGGACCGGAGUGGACGCAUCACUGGUGUUCGGGUUGUCAUGCCAAUGGCACUGCCCGGUAGCUAAAUGCGGAAGAGAUAAGUGCUGAAAGCAUCUAAGCACGAAACUUGCCCCGAGAUGAGUUCUCCCUGAGACUUUAAGUCUCCUGAAGGAACGUUGAAGACGACGACGUUGAUAGGCCGGGUGUGUAAGCGCAGCGAUGCGUUGAGCUAACCGGUACUAAUGAACCGUGAGGCUUAACCUUACAACGCCGAAG
rnacentral:rRNA from 1 species